rnacentral:lncRNA from 1 species
AAAAGCCACCUAUGAGAUCCUGCAGGCACUGCAAGGUUUCCUGGCUCAGAGCUGAGCCAGCUGGGAGGAGGAGGAGGAAGAGGAGGAGGAGGAGGAGGAAGAGGAGGAGGGAGCUUCCCAACCCAACCAUUCUGCUCCCCUGGGAUCCUCAGGAAUGUUCCUGGUGGGAAAUCCAGGCAGGAUCCUCCAGAGAAACGGGAAUGGAGUUUGGUGUGGGCAGGAGCCACUUCCAAGGCUUUCAGGAGAGCUGGAUCCCAGAAUUCUGGGCUUCCCCCCCGGGCAAAGCCGCUCCAGGAGGACACAAACACUGGGAGAAGCCACUUGGUCUUUUCCAUCACCUGGAAAAGAUUUUUUAUUUCCUUCAGGGAAAAAACAGGGAGAAGAAUUCCCCUGGAACCUCUCACCCCCUUUCCAAAGCCACUGAAGCGCCAGAAUCGUGAGGUGCGUUGGAUUUCUCAUGGAUCAGGGAAGAAUAAUCCGGAAUUUGUCCCAAAUUCCUUGGUGUAAUCACUGUAAAUACGGAAUUACUGUACAGAUCCUGUGCAUCCAGUCCUGGUGAAGCUGUGGUUCUGCUUCCUGAGAUUCCCAAAGGUGGGAACACCACUGUGAACUGCAGGCAGCUCGGAAUUUCCCCAUGGAAUUUCUUCUCCCCUCUUUUCUGUAUAGCUUGUCACCGUUUUUUUACGUUUUGUAAUUCCUUUUUUGUAUGAGAAACUUUUUAUAAUUCUUUUUAAAUUUUUUUUUACUUGAUUUGUUCGAACUUGGAUAGAAUUUAGGUUCUUAAAAAUGUGAGGAGCUGAAAUCCCUGUGCUGCAGGAUAGGAAGAAAAUUGGGAAAAAUGGAACUUGCAGAAGAGAGAAGUGACCAGAUCCAGGACUGUCUUGUUUUUAAGGCUGUGGGAGACUUGGGAUCAUCUUCCUCUGUGUAUGUUUGGGAAAGGAAAACAUACUUUUGAAAAAUAAGGAUUAAACAGGAAAAAUUUCCAUUAUUUCCAUCUGAAUUCUGAUUUUUGUUUUAGUUGGAUGAAAUGUUGGGAAGUUGUUGAUUUCCUGGGAGGAGGAGGAGGAGGAGGAUGGAAGUUGUUCCUCAGCCUCUGGAAAAGCUGGAAUUGCCACCAAGUGCAUCCGAGGGGUUUUUUGGGAUGGAAAUCCCAAAAUCUCCCAUCCCAUUCCAACCCCUGCCAGGGACAGGGACACCUUCCCCAUCCCAGGUGUUUCCAAGAGGGAAAUUUGGAUUUUGAAGCCAAUUACAGGGAGCUGCCUUCCCAUGGCAGCAAUAUCCAAAGGAUUGCAAAGGAUUCCAAGGAACAAAAAAAUCACCCUGGUUUUGAAGGAAACCUUGAUUUUAUUAGUCAAUAAAUAGAAUAAAUAGGGAAUAUCA